GCCCAAGCAAGUCUAGAAUUCUCUACCAAAAUAUUCAGCACCACUAACACCAGAGUUUUAGGAGAGAGUCAAUCCCGCAGCUAAGCCGUCUUCUGACACCUUCUUUGACCAAGCUGUCCCCCUAAUGCUCGGAACCUGCUGGAGCUCUCCAGUCCCUGCUGCAAGUUUCCACCCGGUGCCAGCACUCUCUCUCCCAUUCUAGAGUGCUCGCCCCCACGCUCCUCGCCUAUCAGGCCUAGCGGGUGCUAGGAAACUCCAGCGCCUUCUUGAGAGUUCCGUCACCCUUGUUAGUCUCUAAUCUGUUGGACUAACUUGGUAGAGGCUGACUUAGUCCCACCCCAAGACUAAAUUAGUGUUGAAGUCGUUAAGACCGUGACAGACUCCAUGGAUUCGAGCGUCUCAAGAACAAAACUGGAAUACUAUGAUGAUAUGUGGAAACUUCAAUCCAAAACAACUCUCAUUUCCUUCUCUAAAGGAGACGAUGGUAGGCUUGCUUUGAUAUUGGACUCCACGAUCUUUCACCCUCAAGGUGGAGGCCAGCCGGCGGACACUGGAUUCAUCACCGCUGCUACUGAUGAUUCCAACUUUAAAUUCAUCGUUCAAGAUGUUAGAUCCAAGGACGGAAUUGUUUAUCAUUACGGAGUCAUGGAGGAGGAGGAUUCUGGUAGGGAUUUCCUUGAGAAGGGGAGGGAAGUUCUGUUGCAUGUUGAUGAGUGUAGGAGAAAGCUGAAUUCCAGGUUGCAUUCAGCUGGGCAUUUGCUGGAUGGAUGCUUGCUGAAUGUGGGAUUGGGUCAUCUAGAACCAGCAAAAGCCUACCAUUUUCCAGAUGGGCCUUUCGUUGAAUAUAAAGGUACAGUUCCUCAAAAUGAAUUGCAAAACAAGCAAAAAGAGUUAGAGGUAGAAGCCAAUGAGUUAAUAUCUACAGGAGGCAUAGUUUCUGCUGCUGUAUUGCCAUAUGAAGAAGCUUCUGCUUUGUGUGGUGGUUACCUUCCUGAUUAUAUUCCCAAGGGCAGCACUCCUCGCAUUGUGAAGUUAGGAAACUUUCCUGGCUGUCCUUGUGGUGGUACCCAUGUUUCUGACAUUUCAGAGAUCAUAAGUAUGAAGGUUUCUCAAAUGCGGUCAAAGAAGGGAAUGACAAAAGUCUUUUACACUGUUGGAUCAUGUGAAGAUAUGGCACUUCCAACGAAUUAAUGCUGAGUUUGAUAGGCCGAAAUAUAAUGUAAUAUGAUCAAAUUUUCUAUUGAAUCUCAACAAAAAAAUUUGAUUGUAUUAGAUUAUAUUACAAUUUACUAAACAUAGCCUAAAAUUAUGAAAUUCAGCUUUCUGUGUUCUUGUAUAAUUUAGCUGAUUAAGCUGUUACUU
rnacentral:misc_RNA from 1 species